rnacentral:rRNA from 1 species
UGGGGAAUAUUGCACAAUGGGCGCAAGCCUGAUGCCGCCAUGCCGCGUGUAUGAAGAAGGCCUUCGGGUUGUAAAGUACUUUCAGCGAGGAGGAAGGCAUUGUGGUUAAUAACCGCAGUGAUUGACGUUACUCGCAGAAGAAGCACCGGCUAACUCCGUGCCAGCAGCCGCGGUAAUACGGAGGGUGCAAGCGUUAAUCGGAAUUACUGGGCGUAAAGCGCACGCAGGCGGUUUGUUAAGUCAGAUGUGAAAUCCCCGGGCUCAACCUGGGAACUGCAUUUGAAACUGGCAAGCUUGAGUCUUGUAGAGGGGGGUAGAAUUCCAGGUGUAGCGGUGAAAUGCGUAGAGAUCUGGAGGAAUACCGGUGGCGAAGGCGGCCCCCUGGACAAAGACUGACGCUCAGGUGCGAAAGCGUGGGGAGCAAACA